rnacentral:rRNA from 1 species
GACAGAGGGGGCAAGCGUUGCUCGGAAUUACUGGGCGUAAAGGGCUCGUAGGCGGCCAACUAAGUCGGACGUGAAAUCCCUCGGCUUAACCGGGGAACUGCGUCCGAUACUGGAUGGCUUGAGUUCGGGAGAGGGAUGCGGAAUUCCAGGUGUAGCGGUGAAAUGCGUAGAUAUCUGGAGGAACACCGGUGGCGAAGGCGGCAUCCUGGACCGACACUGACGCUGAGGAGCGAAAAGCCAGGGGAGCAAACAGG